rnacentral:rRNA from 1 species
AUACGGAGGGUGCAAGCGUUACUCGGAAUCACUGGGCGUAAAGCGCGCGCAGGCGGCUAUUUAAGUGGGAUGUGAAAGCCUACGGCUCAACCGUAGAACUGCGUCCAAAACUAUUUAGCUAGAGUGUGGGAGAGGAAGAUGGAAUUAGUUGUGUAGGGGUAAAAUCCGUAGAGAUAACUAGGAAUACCAAAAGCGAAGGCAAUCUUCUGGAACACUACUGACGCUGAGGCGCGAAAGCGUGGGGAGCAAACGGGAUUAGAAACCCUAGUAGUCC